ACAAAUCAGCUCCAUAUACUGUGUAUAAUAACCUCUCUUCUUGUGUAUAAUAAUCGUUCCAUUCUCUUCUCUGUCUGACAGGCGGCUGCGCGGCUAGAUCAGAUUCAGUUUGAGACACUCAGUCUGAGCUCACGACUAAACCAUGGAUCAGAAGUCCACUUCACCCCAGAGACAUGCGGUGAAAAGCAGGUCGAAGUCUACAGAGGAAGUCCAGCAAGCUAAAAAGGCCUUCCACAUCCCCCAGAAAUCACUGCCUGGAGGGUCAGAGCUGGAAAAGGUGAAGGAGGGACCAGAAGAAAAUGUGACUCCAGCAUCAUCCACGGAAGAGCUCAAGUGAUGCUGCCAUUAAUCUGUGUUUCUCUCACACACAAACACACACAUAAAGACAAAUGCUUGGUUUUCUAAACAAGGUUUGGUAUAGUACAGUUAAAGCAUUAGUUCUUCUUUUUGUUGGAUUUUCAGUACAGCUCAACACAUAGAAUUAUGAAACCUGUCGAUCUGCAGCACGUUCAGUCUGCAUCUCUGUACACUGACAGUACAGAUAUAAACACAAAAAAUGCUUUCACUAUGAACAUCCGCGCAUGUGUGCUUUUACAGUAAAGAAGCACAAGUUAAAUUUAAAUCAGUUUAAAUUAAUAGUAUCUUUUGCUUUUUUUUUUUUUUUUUUUUAAUUACCUCAUCAUAAUUGGGCAGGACAGUUUCUGCACAGCCAGUAGGUGCUGCUGUUAAUGUGUAAAUUUUGGCAGUCAUAUUAAUAUUUUGGGUGUCUGACAUCAUAAAUCUACAGAGCCCCUAAGGGAUAUUGUGAUGGAAAAAAUAUGAGAUGGAAGAAUUAUAUUUCAAUGCAUUUGUACUGAAUGCUUUUGCAUUUUGCAUCACAAAAGUGAUACGUUUCUUGAGGGAAUGUAAAAGUUUUACGAGUAAAUGCAAACUUUUCCUCUCAUCUUAUUUUUUUAAACCAUCAUGUCUUUUUAAGGGCUCCAUAGAAUUCCUCAGAUAUCAAAAAGUAUAGUAAUUUUUUCAAUUUAGUUUUGGUGAAUGCUCUUUUCUUCUGUGUUCUGAAAGUUACAGCACAUUCUUUUCUAAGAACGCUUAAUGCGGGCUUUUUUUCUGCAGUUGUUUCCGCAAUGUUUGUCGAACAUUUUCACUCCACACUAGCUUUCUCAUGUAUUUGGGCCCCUGUAAGUCAAAUGGUGUCAGAUGCUCAUUCGUUGACUUAUUUAUUGGCAUCAGCUGAAUCACAGAGCUGACAUACUAUAUGAGUCAGCUGAAGAUGUUGUGUAAGUGUUUACAGUAUCCAUGCCAUAAGUUAAGCAGUUUGUGCUAAUAAAGUUUUAACCACUCAUCAUACUAAAGUUCAGUGAUGAAGUGAGUGAAUUUGAGAAUACAGGAGUCACUCUCACAGCUGUAAACAAGAUGCAUGAAAACCUUGCAGUCUAUAUAGUUUCUGACCAAAGUAAAAUUGAACUAGUAUCAACAAAUGUUAAGGUGUGUUUAAGUAAUAUUUC